AUAAGCUACGCGGAGCUGCCAAGAAGCUUUGAUGCGUAGAUUUCCGAAUGGGGCAACCCAAUAUGUAGUAAUACAUAUUACCUUAAAUGGAGCGAACCUAGCGAAGUGAAACAUCUCAGUAGCUAGAGGAAAAGAAAUCAAAAGAGAUUCUCCUAGUAGCGGCGAGCGAACGGGGAACAGGGCAAACCAGAUGCUUGCAUCUGGGGUUGAGGACUGCAAUAUCCAAUGAAAUAAUUUAGUAAAAAUGUCUGGAAAGUCAUAUCAUAGAGGGUGAUAGUCCCGUAUACGAAAAAUUAUUUCUAGGUAGCAGUAUCCAGAGUAGGCCAGGACACGUGCAAUCCGGGCUGAAGCGGGGGAGACCACUCUCCAACCCUAAAUACUACUCUCUUACCGAUAGCGAACAAGUACCGUGAGGGAAAGGUGAAAAGAACCGCAGCGAGCGGAGUGAAAUAGAACCUGAAACCAUUUGCCUACAAUCAUUCAGAGCCCUAUUGUUUACAAGGGUGAUGGACUGCCUUUUGCAUAAUGAUCCUGCGAGUUGUGGUGUCUGGCAAGGUUAAGCAUACGUGUAGCCGUAGCGAAAGCGAGUCUGAAAGGGCGAUUAAGUCAGAUGCUGCAGACC
rnacentral:rRNA from 1 species